AGCGAACGCUGGCGGCAGGCCUAACACAUGCAAGUCGAACGAAGUCUUCGGACUUAGUGGCGGACGGGUGAGUAACACGUGGGAACGUGCCUUUAGGUUCGGAAUAACUCAGGGAAACUUGUGCUAAUACCGAAUGUGCCCUUCGGGGGAAAGAUUUAUCGCCUUUAGAGCGGCCCGCGUCUGAUUAGCUAGUUGGUGAGGUAAAGGCUCACCAAGGCGACGAUCAGUAGCUGGUCUGAGAGGAUGAUCAGCCACAUUGGGACUGAGACACGGCCCAAACUCCUACGGGAGGCAGCAGUGGGGAAUCUUGCGCAAUGGGCGAAAGCCUGACGCAGCCAUGCCGCGUGAAUGAUGAAGGUCUUAGGAUUGUAAAAUACUUUCACCGGGGAAGAUAAUGACGGUACCCGGAGAAGAAGCCCCGGCUAACUUCGUGCCAGCCGCCGCCGUAAUAC
rnacentral:rRNA from 1 species